UACGAAGGGGGCUAGCGUUGUUCGGAAUUACUGGGCGUAAAGCGCACGUAGGCGGUCACUUAAGUCAGGGGUGAAAUCCCGGGGCUCAACCCCGGAACUGCCUUUGAUACUGGGUAUCUUGAGUCCGGAAGAGGUAAGUGGAAUUCCGAGUGUAGAGGUGAAAUUCGUAGAUAUUCGGAGGAACACCAGUGGCGAAGGCGGCGAUCUGGAAACAUACUGACGCUGAGGUGCGAAAGCGUGGGGAGCAAACAGG
rnacentral:rRNA from 1 species